AGUGAACGCUGGCGGCGUGCCUAACACAUGCAAGUCGAACGAGAACGGGUUAUAACUUGUUAUAACUGUCAGCUAAGUGGCGCACGGGUGAGUAAUGUAUAGGUAAUAUGCCUCUUACUAAGGGAUAACAAAUGGAAACGUUUGCUAAUACCUUAUACUUCUUAUUAACCUAAGUUAAUAAGGGAAAGAUUUAUUGGUAAGAGAUUAGCCUGUAUUGUAUCAGUUAGUUGGUGGGGUAAUGGCUUACCAAGACUAUGAGACAUAACUGGUUUGGGAGGAUGAUCAGUCACACUGGAACUGAGACACGGUGCAGAAUCGUACGGGAGGGAGCAGUGGGGAAUAUUGCACAAUGGACGAAAGUCUGAUGCAGCAACGCCGCGUGGAGGAGGACACAUUUCGGUGCGUAAACUCCUUUUAUAUGAGAAGAUAAUGACGGUAUUAUAUGAAUAAGCACCGGCUAACUCCGUGCCAGCCGCCGCUGUAA
rnacentral:rRNA from 1 species